GAACAAGAUAACUAUGAAAGUUUCUUUGGUCUUGUGUUCUGGUUGUAGUAAUUGUGCCCGAGAGGUCUGGAAAAGAAGAUUACUCUGACAUUCAAAGGUCUACAUGGGAGGAUGAAGAGAAUGAGUGAGCAAUGAUGCAGCUAUGGCUGUGGAUUCAGGAAAAAAGGAAACGAGGUUUGAAGACUUCAUCUCUGAAACUGGGAAUUCAGUUUUAUCAUUGUUUUUAUGGUGGAGCAAAAUUCUGGAAUUCCAAUUUAUGCUGACAUCCCACAUCGAGUAUUAAAUAAAAAUAGUCCACAAUUACCUGGGGAAGAUUUGAUGAUUGGACAAGUCAAAGAAAUCACUUCUUUUGUCCUCAGGAUGCAGAUGCCCCAAGCAUUAUAGUCCUUUUUUUUUUUCCUGUGGUGUUGGCACAAGCUCAUAGAGAACAGCCUUUAUUCAUCUAAUAUAAAGCACUAGGAAGGGGAUGACAAAUAUGACCAGCCUGAGAAGCCCCAAAGCUCAACUCUGAGCAAGAAGAAGAAGGCAGGCCAGCAACUUGCUCCAGGACACAGGCUAUUGCUGGGACCUGGCUAACUUUAAGCCUCUUAGGAAACUGCUGAAUCAUAGAGUUGGCACCAUUAAUAAGCGAGUUUCAAACAAAGAACUGAGGACAUGUCAUCAAGUCCAACAUGCAAAGCCACACAGCAACUCUGUGGGGAUGAUAAGGCAUAGAUCUUGGAACCAUGCUCACAUCAAUAGUCUCCACAGAAUGAUCUGGAAUCAGCACUUGGCUGAGAAUUUAUAACACUAAAAAUGUAAAGGGGAUUUCUAUGGAAUAUACUGGGUCAAAUUUAAGGACCAGGGCCUGAGAGUUCUUGGCUCUUCUUCAGGUUCUUUGAAAGUGAAUUAAGGCACCAGAAACUAUAGGAAAAACCAGAAAGCUGUUUGAGUGUGUUGCAUGAUUCUGGGCAACUUAUGCACCAGACAUGGGGUUGACAUUGAACCUGCAGAAACAAUAUAAGUCAGCAAACCACUUAACCUAACGGUGUUAAGUAUUUAGGUAGUCAUCAUAAUGUAAUAUUGGUUUUUAAACUUCAGAAUCAACCCAUAGACAGAGCAUGAACGACUUGAUCUGGUUACAAAACAAUAUAAUGUUAUUAAUUUUGCCAAGAAAAUAGGUGAGGGAUAGUAGCAUGGAGGAGAGAGUGAUGUAAGAGCCUAGGUGCCAAUUUCUUCUUUUCACAGAGAGGGAGUUAAUAGAUACUAAUAAGAAAAAAGUGAGACCAAAAAAACAAAAAAUGGCGUAGAUGAUAGAGGCUCUGUUCAUCCCUCUGG